rnacentral:rRNA from 1 species
UGGGGGAUAUUGCACAAUGGGCGAAAGCCUGAUGCAGCGACGCCGCGUGGGGGAUGAAGGCUUUCGGGUUGUAAACCUCUUUCGCUAUCGAACAAGGCCCGCUUAGGGUGGGUUGAGGGUAGGUGGAGAAGAAGCGCCGGCUAACUACGUGCCAGCAGCCGCGGUACUAGGUAGGGCGCGAGCGUUGUCCGGAAUUAUUGGGCGUAAAGGGCUUGUAGGCGGCUUGUUGCGCCUGCUGUGAAAACGCGGGGCUUAACUUCGCGCGUGCAGUGGGUACGGGCAGGCUUGAGUGUGGUAGGGGUGACUGGAAUUCCAGGUGUAGCGGUGGAAUGCGCAGAUAUCUGGAGGAACACCGAUGGCGAAGGCAGGUCACUGGGCCAUUACUGACGCUGAGGAGCGAAAGCAUGGGUAGCGAACAGG